GUUUGCCUCCCCCCCCCCACUACAAAGCUCCAACUUUCGAUCUCGGCACCUGCCAGGGCCAGUUCCUCUACACUCUUCCUUCCCACGGUCAAGUUCUGGGGGAGCUCCUGCAGAUGGGACUCCAAAGCGCCUUCUGAGUCCUGGCGGGGUCAUUUCGCCAAACAUUUUGCCAGGUGCAAAACCACUCCUCUCCCAAGACAACAAGUAUUGAUUAAGCACCUACUGUGUGCCAUGCGGGAGGUUGAUACUCAAAACAUCAGCACAUGAUGCAGUUUGCAGGACUGCUGGAUUUCACAUUUCACCUCUUCUCACCAUGUUCUUGUCUUCUGGAAAGCCUGACCAAGGGUUGAUUGAUCUUCUCUGUCGUGGUUAUCCUCUCCAAUGCAGAAACUCUCUCUACUGCCUCUAAACAAGGGACCCAGGAUCUCCGGGUCUUUUGAACUUAAAGGUUGUCUCCGAGGCUGGACAUGUCUAUCUCAGAAAUUACUUUUCAUAAACCUGUACUCAGGAAAGGAAUAAAACAGAAGCAGCAGCCCCGGGCCCAAGGCCUAGUCUCUGUCACCUAAUCUUGAGCAUGCUGGAGCUGCCGUCUGCCAAGUUUACUGUUUCUGCAGGUCAUCAGCCCCACCCUCACCCCUUGAGAUGCUGACAUCUCCAGAUAGAAGAGAGGUAGAAGGUAGAGUCACUCCCCUUUUAAAGUCCCCCGAUACUGUUCUUGCUCAGUGUCAAUAAGGGGACUGUUUCCUCAUCCCAGAGUCCUUCCCCAGAAAUGGCUCCGCAUUUCCAUGGAGUGUGCCCCAGUCUAACUCCUGCUGUGUGUAUGUUUUGUUUUCCCAACCAGACUGAUGCUUUUCAAAAGUCCGGAUUUGUGUUUUCAAUUUCUUUUUCAUCUCCCUUAAGUAGAGAACUGUGCGUAUGACAGAUAACUGAUGUUCAGUGAAUACUUAUUGAUCAAACGAUUGAGAAGCAAAAAUGAGACCAGUUAUAAAUGCGUGGCGAGAGGGGCACUGUAUUUUCUUAAGCAGGGUAAUACUUCACUGGGCCUAUGAUGUCUUCAGGGCAUCAUUACCCAAGAAUACAAGCGAUUGCCUGCUGGAGUUAGAGAUGGACCUUGGGAAUCCAAAGUUUCUGUUCAGUGUUCUAUCACUUUAGAAUCAUGGAGUUAGACAGAACAU